AUGACGAACAUGGCUUCAACGACGGCGUGCCUUUUAAAGACGGGGUACGGCUCGGCGGUGCGGUACGGCUGUCGGUUACAAAAACCAUUGAAACAGCACCCCAGACAGCACAACCCAUGCUCCCCAAUCGAUUCACAUGCCAUCAGGUCGGCUGAUUGCAAUGGCAAAGAUAGAGCGGAGCAGUCAAGGCUGAGGAAAGAGGAGCAGAGAGCCAAGCGGUGA
rnacentral:rRNA from 1 species